rnacentral:lncRNA from 1 species
UGGGGACCUAACCAAUGUCUUUAAGAGGGAUCGUGCUACUGGGAUAGGAGUAGAAGUACUUAUAGAUGCUAUUAAAGAAAUAGAGAUGGAGGAGCAACAAUAUCUGCACACAUUACGAACUAUCAAUGAGAGUUAAGACGAGGAGCAAUUUUCAUAGUCAGAAUUUCACCAUGUACACUUUCCAAAUGGCUACUAAUACUGAAGCUGUAGGUGUAAGUCGGCCAACCAAAACU